GGAGGCAUGGUUCAACUGGUAGAACAUCUGUUUAGCAAGUGCAAGGCCCUGAGUUCAAACCUCAGCAUUUCCC
rnacentral:tRNA from 1 species